GGUGUGGUGCAGAAAAUGCUAGUCCAGCUGGCCCGGGUGCAGGCAUAAAAAGUAGGUAAGUUGAGGCAGGAGAGUCACAAGUUCAAGGGCCAGAGUAAAUGGAAGGCUGAGAGUGUGUAGCUGACAGAAAUGAACGCCCUGAACUUCAUCUCCAGCAUCCAAACUCAUUAUUUAAGGAUAUGUGUAGGGUUUUGUAACCUGAGUUUUGGAUGCUGUCAGAGGACAACUCUGACCCUGGCCAGCACCUCCCAUCCUCCCCCAAUUAAUCAUGACCUUCCUCCCUUCUCUGCUGUCACCUGCUCCAACCACAGCCAGGUCUUCUUGGAGACAUUACAGGUUCUAGCCUGAGCAUACUGCCCUGUCCCAGAUGUCACUAAGGAUGACUGCCACCUGGAGGGGCACUCCCCGGGCAGGUGUGAGACAGGUCAAAGCUUCUAAAAUGUGUCUGGUUCAUCCAUGCGCUAAGGGUAACUUCAGGGGGCGCGCGAAUAAGACGCCUCAUCGCUGAGUCUUCUGCCUCAGUUUACUUGCGCAGCCUACGUGGCUGAUUACAUUGUGCAGUGAUGACACUAAGCUGGGGACAGCUCAGCGUGUAGUCCCGCCCAAGACCUCGGUCCCGCCCACUCUCGCAAGACUACAAACAAGUUCCCGCGAUAGUCUGAGAGCCCCACCCCGUCGGCUUUUCCUGGCCUGUGUUCUCAGGGUCCUUCUCAGACCCCCCCUCAGGGGCGUGUCCUCGCGCGGCUCCCGCGAUCCCGGCAGGCUCCGCCUCGAUCACGUGCGGCCCGCGGCGCGCCCGCCCUCGCACGGCUCCUCGCGGCCACCGUAGAAGGAGUGCGGCGGCCGCAGGGACGGAAGCCGGGAGGCGCCGCCGACCGCGCCUGCGACAGCGUCAGCUCUGCGCGGAACGCCGGCCCAUGGCGGCGGCGGCGGCGAUGGCAGAGCAGGAGGGCGCCCGCAACGGCGCCCGCAACCGCGGCGGCGUCCAGCGCGUGGAGGGCAAGCUGCGUGCUAGCGUCGAGAAGGGCGACUACUACGAGGCGCACCAGAUGUACCGGACCCUCUUCUUCAGAUACAUGUCUCAGAGCAAACAUGCAGAGGCCCGGGAGCUUAUGUACUCAGGAGCAUUGCUCUUCUUCAGUCAUGGCCAGCAGAACAGUGCAGCUGACCUGUCCAUGCUGGUCCUCGAAUCCCUGGAAAAGGCCGAGGUGGACGUAGCUGAUGAGCUUUUGGAAAAUCUGGCUAAAGUGUUCAGUUUGAUGGAUCCAAAUUCUCCUGAACGAGUAGCUUUUGUGUCCAGAGCCCUGAAGUGGUCCAGUGGAGGGUCUGGGAAACUGGGCCAUCCUCGACUCCACCAGCUGCUGGCCCUCACAUUAUGGAAAGAUUCUUUCCCUUCACAGAGCAAAAUUACUGUGAGUCUCGGUAUCACUUUCUGCACUCCAGUGAUGGCGAGGGCUGCGCCAACAUGCUGGUCGAGUACUCUACUGCCCGAGGCUUCCGAAGUGAGGUGGACAUGUUCGUGGCUCAGGCUGUGCUACAGUUUCUCUGUUUGAAAAAUAAGAACAGUGCACUGGUGGUCUUUACAACGUACACACAGAAGCAUCCAUCCAUCGAGGAUGGGCCGCCCUUUGUUCAGCCCCUGCUCAAUUUCAUCUGGUUUCUGCUGCUGGCCGUGGACGGGUGAGUCCAUCUGUGUGGGUGCUGGGUAUGUGUCUGUGAGGCCAUGGCUCUCACUGGGAGUUAUCCCCGGUUCUUGUUGCAGUGGCAAGCUGGCUGUCUUCACGGUGCUGUGCGAGCAGUACCAGCCGUCCCUGCGGAGGGACCCCAUGUACAACGAGUACCUCGACAGGAUCGGACAACUCUUCUUCGGUGUGCCGCCAAAGCAGACAUCCUCCUAUGGAGGCUUGCUAGGGAACCUGCUGAGCAGCCUCAUGGGCUCCUCAGAGCAGGAAGAGGGGGAAGAGAGCCAGGAUGACAGCAGCCCCAUCGAGCUGGACUGAAGCUGCCUGGCCAGCGUGGAGAUGUCCAUGGCCGGCACCGCUGGGACGGAUUCAGUGCCAGGCUGGGCGCAAGGCCCCUUACCAGUGGGCUGCUGCUCUGUGGCUGAGGGGCCAUCUAUGCAGAGUCUGUCCCUAUUUAUGUAUGGUGGUUGAGGGCUGUGUGGCCAGGACCAAGAGCAAGGCCCAGCUUCUGCUGGCCAAUCGUGUUCCUUCAGAUCACCCACAAUAAAGCGCAGCCCUUGCUGCAGCACCCGCUGCCAUCCUUGUCUCUGCUUCCUUGGGGAGGGCUGCAGGGUGGCACAGCAGCCUGGCGUCAGUGACUGGUACCCCUUCUCCUGUGUCCAGUGCAGCCAUGGCAUGCCAGAGAAGUGGCAGCUGCCGCUGUGAGCCACGCAGGAUCCCGUGUCCUGCAGACGAGAGCGGCUUUCUUGUUUGUGGGAUUUUGUUUGGACACAGAGUUGUUUUGCAAUCAUGGUGUGCUUCCCAGGGACAGAGCGUGUGCUGUGGCGGCUAGGCUCCUUGGAGGUCACAAGCAGCUGGCCAGGGUAAUGUCCCUUGGUCCAUGGGGCUGUGGCCCGUGCUGUAGUCUAUGGGCUCCUCCGUUCAAGCUGCAGCCCUGCUGGUCCCUUCAGCUCCACGCUGCUGCUCUGGCGAGGUUUUAAAGGGUGCCAUGGGCUCUCACGUCCUUCGUGUUGCAGUAUUUAUUUUUACUGGGUGAGGAUUUUUCAACUUAACGUUUUAGGACUUAACCAAAUAACCAGUCCAUGAAUAAGCAACCCCAUUACCACAGACAGUACCCACGCUACCAGUCUGAUUAUAAAGGGAGACACUUUAUUUUUUCACAAUUAAAUAAGAAUUGUAGAUUAAUACACCUCUAUCUUGCAUGGGAAGGAGGGAAAUAUGCGUUAUUUACUGUAAAAAAAUGGAAUUUAAAGGAAGGCUUGUGUCACCUUUUGACUAUAAAUAAAUCCUUUCUACUGGA